GCCUGGGUGGCUCAGUCGGUUGAGCGUCCGACUUCAGCUCAGGUCAUGAUUUCACAGUUUGUGGGUUUGAGCCCCGCGUUGGGCU
rnacentral:tRNA from 1 species